AUUGAACGCUGGCGGCAGGCCUAACACAUGCAAGUCGAGCGGCAGCGGGAAAGUAGCUUGCUACUUUUGCCGGCGAGCGGCGGACGGGUGAGUAAUGCCUGGGAAAUUGCCCAGUCGAGGGGGAUAACAGUUGGAAACGACUGCUAAUACCGCAUACGCCCUACGGGGGAAAGCAGGGGACCUUCGGGCCUUGCGCGAUUGGAUAUGCCCAGGUGGGAUUAGCUAGUUGGUGAGGUAAUGGCUCACCAAGGCGACGAUCCCUAGCUGGUCUGAGAGGAUGAUCAGCCACACUGGAACUGAGACACGGUCCAGACUCCUACGGGAGGCAGCAGUGGGGAAUAUUGCACAAUGGGGGAAACCCUGAUGCAGCCAUGCCGCGUGUGUGAAGAAGGCCUUCGGGUUGUAAAGCACUUUCAGCGAGGAGGAAAGGUUGAUGCCUAAUACGUAUCAACUGUGACGUUACUCGCAGAAGAAGCACCGGCUAACUCCGUGCCAGCCGCCGCCGUAAUAC
rnacentral:rRNA from 1 species